CUCUAUGGCCAUGUCACCCUGAAUGUGCCUGAUAUUGUCAGAUCUCAGAAGCUAAGCAGAAUCGGGCCUGGUUAGUACUUGGAUUGGAGAACACCUAGGAAUACCAGGUGCUAUAGGUG
rnacentral:rRNA from 1 species